GGGUUAAAAAAUUUUGUAAUAUAUUUAAAUGUAUAUUUUUGAGAGAGAUACUACAUUGCCAAUGACUUUAUAAAUAAUCUUAAAUUAACUUACAAAUUUAUAAGAUGCAAACCAAAAGAUUUUUUUUUUAAAGAGAGAGAGAGAAAAGAGAAAAAAAGCUUUUAUUCUUUUGGAUCUCAUUAUCAGAAGUAUUAUUCAGCUCGAGAAAUCUGAUUCCCAUAUUGGAAAAUGAACGUCCUUAAGUAUUCCUGAAGUGUAAAACUGGGUGUCUCCUCCCAGCUCUUGUUACAGUGUUUCUGACCGCUUCUUCACCCUUCACAGAUUUAAUACAAAGUUACAAGCCUUACUUUUAUAACAUAUCCUACAAGUUUCCUUAAGACUGUUGUUACAGUCUGGCUGAACCCAGUUCCACCUGCAAAGUCUUGCGUUGUGUCUGCAGGCCACACUAGUGGCUACAGAGGCCAUUUUGUUUGUUGAUACUGAGGCCAUGCUGGGGCACCUGAGUCUAAGGUGGGACUGUGUGCAAGGCACUACAGCUCUUCCCAAGGCGUUUGCCAGCUGUUAGCGCUGCAUUUUCAAAGGUCAGAGACUUUUCUUCUGUCUGAGCUGGUCAUGUAGCAGUUUUUUCCUAAACACAAAAUGGCCUCUUGCUUGUCUGGUAAUGAGAUUGUAAAUCCAUUUCCUGCAUGUUCUCCCCAGGCUUGCCUGAGUGUGUGGGGUGCGCAGGUGCGUGCCCGUCUUUUUGUACUGUAACUACCUCAUGGUUUGAAUGGUGAGCGUACUGCUGGUUGUAUUAACAGAGCACAUUUGUCGGGUGAGUUGUGUAUGUAAACUUUUUUUUUAACCCUGUUUGUUUUAUCUGGGGGUUCGUUCAUUAAACUGACAGAUAUUUUUCUAGGAGGGACUAUUAUUGGUUUCCAAAUGCAAUACUCUAUUCUGGUUUUUCCUGAGUGAGCCUGGUUUUGUUACUGUUUUUUUCAUCUAUGAGGGUAAAAGCAUACCCUGAAAAAUCCCUGUGGCCAGUUUGAACACCCCUGCUGUAACCUUCCCUCUGUCUCAUGGUCUUUGUGAACCUGCUUAGAGGUAUAGUUUUGAUAACCACAGUUUUAAUUCUUUUAUCUGUGCAUAAUAAAGAUAUAUAUCAAUUAUUAA
rnacentral:lncRNA from 1 species